UCAGGGGGCGUGGGCCAUCAGGUGUGCCCCCCUCCAGGGAUGAAGCACCUGAAAGUAUGAUAAUGGUUUGAUGAAGGUUUGAUAAAAGUUUGAUGAAGGUAUGACAAAAGUUUGAUGAAGGUUUGAUGAAGGUACGAUAGAGGUUUGAUGACGGUAUGAUUAAGGUUUGAUGAAGGUACGAUAGAGGUUUGAUUACGGUAUGAUGAAGGUAUGAUUAAGGUUUGAUAAAGGUUUGAUGAAGGUUUGAUGAAGGUACGAUAAAGGUUUGAUGAAGGUUUGAUGAAGGUACGAUAGAGGUUUGAUUACGGUUUGAUGAAGGUACGAUAGAUGUUUGAUGAAGGUUUGAUUAAGGUUUGAUUAAAUUUUGAUGAAGGUAUGAUUACGGUUUUAUUAAGGUAUGAUUACAGUUUGAUGAAGGUACGAUAAAGGUUUGAUGAAGGUUUGAUGCAGUCCAGAGGUUUGUACAGUCUAAACCCUACGUGGGCAUGGGGCUGUCUGCAGGCAUGCUCUCUGAACGUGGAAGAAUCAUGGGUUUUCUGGAACAUGAAAGUUCCUGGACCUCUUCAGCCCAAAGAGGUUUCCAGGUAGUGCUCUAUACGUUAAUGCCUAUGGAGCACGACAGACGAGACGCAUCACUGCAGCGGAGAGUCCGCUGCACUACAAAAGACAGAACUGAACGGGACUAAUCAUGAAUGUAAAAAACAUACACAACAAAUCAUGUCAGUUAACAGCAUUUCAGAUUCAAAAAACUAACGGAUUAGACACGUUUCUGUUUUUGAAGAAAAAAACUAUUAGUGCAUCGCUAUGCGUACAUUUCAACGCUGCUUCACUGCUGGAAAAGAAAUAGAUUGUUUUACAUUUCUAACUUUAAAAAACUCCAGUACUUGGCU